rnacentral:rRNA from 1 species
ACCAGACUCCUACGGGAGGCAGCAGUGGGGAAUAUUGCACAAUGGGGGGAACCCUGAUGCAGCGACGCCGCGUGGGUGAAGGAGUAUUUCGGUAUGUAAAGCCCUAUCAGCAGGGAAGAACAAUGACGGUACCUGACUAAGAAGCACCGGCUAAAUACGUGCCAGCAGCCGCGGUAAUACGUAGGGGGCAAGCGUUAUCCGGAUUUACUGGGUGUAAAGGGAGCGUAGACGGCAGUGCAAGUCCGGAGUGAAAGCCCGGGGCUCAACCCUGGGACUGCUCUGGAAACUGUAAAGCUGGAGUGCGGGAGGGGCAGGCGGAAUUCCUAGUGUAGCGGUGAAAUGCGUAGAUAUUAAGAGGAACACCAGUGGCGAAGGCGGCCUGCUGGACGAUGACUGACGUUGAGGCUCGAAAGCGUGGGGAGCAAACAGGAUUAGAUACCCCAGUA